rnacentral:rRNA from 1 species
UACGUAGGGUCCGAGCGUUGUCCGGAAUUAUUGGGCGUAAAGGGCUCGUAGGCGGUUCGUCACGUCGGGAGUGAAAACUCGGGGCUUAACCCCGAGCCUGCUUCCGAUACGGGCAGACUAGAGGUAGGCAGGGGAGAGCGGAACUCCUGGUGUAGCGGUGGAAUGCGCAGAUAUCAGGAAGAACACCGGUGGCGAAGGCGGCUCUCUGGGCAGAAACUGACGCUGAGGCGCGAAAGCUAGGGGAGCAAACAGG